CACGCAGUAAACGAUGAUCACUAGGCGUAUGCAAUUAAUUUGUGUGUGCUGCAGCUAACGCGAUAAGUGAUCCGCCUGGGGAAUACGAUCGCAAGAUUAAAACUUAAAGAAAUUGACGGGGAUCCGCACAAGCGGUGGAACAUGUGGUUUAAUUCGACAAUACGCGAGGAACCUUACCUGGGUUUGACAUGCACAAGAUGCACGUAGAGAUACGUAGUUCAUAGGGAAGCUUAUGACUUUUGCACAGGUGU
rnacentral:rRNA from 1 species